GUUCUAGUAGUUAAAAUAUAACAGUGAUUUUUCAGGUCAUUGGUCUAGGUUAGAUUCCUAGCUUGAAUU
rnacentral:tRNA from 1 species